rfam:Cavia porcellus supercont2_64 genomic scaffold, whole genome shotgun sequence.
GGGGAUUUAGCUCAGCAGCAUAAGUGCCUGCCUUGCAAGCAGGCAGUCGUGAGUUUGUACUCAUACAAACCCUU